rnacentral:rRNA from 1 species
UACGUAGGGUGCAAGCGUUGUCCGGAAUUAUUGGGAGUAAAGAGCUCGUAGGCGGUUUGUCGCGUCGAAUGUGAAAACCCGGGGCUCAACCCCGGGCCUGCAUUCGAUACGGGCAGACUAGAGUUCGGUAGGGGAGUCUGGAAUUCCUGGUGUAGCGGUGAAAUGCGCAGAUAUCAGGAGGAACACCGGUGGCGAAGGCGGGACUCUGGGCCGAUACUGACGCUGAGGAGCGAAAGCGUGGGGAGCAAACAGG